GCGCACCCCGGUCCUUUCCUUUUGUGGCCCUUCCACCCCGACACGGCACCCGCGCGCGCGGGCGGAGGUGGGCGCGCGCAGCUGCCGCAGCAUCCCAGGCAAAAAAUCGCCCUCCUCCUCCCCUCCUUCCUCGUGAUCUGCAUCCCCCCUCCGUGAUCCCGAUCUGCACCUCACCUCCUCCCCCUUCUUCCUUCCCAUCUGCGCCUCCACUCCUCCCUCUCCCGGUUUGCGUGGGGAAAAAGGAUCUAAUCCCCUCCCAUCUGCGCAAUCUUCCCUAGGUGAUUUGAAUUUGAGGUUCAAGAUGUAUUUUCGGGGGUUUUUGGAUCUGAAUUCUGCAUCAAUAGGUGCUCUUACUGUGCCAGAUGCAGAUCUUGUGAGUCUUUCCUUGUUUGAAGAGCAAGAUUUUCUUGCGGCGCCUUCAGUUCUGGAGUCCCAGCAAGUUCUUAAUCCCACUUUGCCGUCAGUGCAUAGUGUCAGUGAUGGAGCGGCAAGUGCACUAUUUGACAGGGCACCCUAUGGAACGGCAACUGAAGACAGCUUACACGAGGAAGCUGUUCAAUGUGUUUCAACAUGAGCUCCAGCUCAGCUCUAGCUACUAUGUUGUUCGUGUCGAAGGGGAUGAUUUGAUAGAUGUUGUUCCAUACAAGCGUUGCCCCGAUCAAUUGUAUGGCACAUGAACAUUCAGGGUCACGGCAUCCAGGUCAGAGGGCUUGUAAAGGUGCGCUUGUUGCAAGUUUCAGAGAGACGGCGUGUUGUGCUGCCACAUACUGAAGGUUUUUGACGCCCUUCAAUCCAUGAGGUGCCUAGUCAACACAUUUUACUUAGAUGGUCAGCUGAGCCGGUGGUUGAGGAUGUGGAGUGGAAGUCGCUACUGAGCCUCUUCAAGAAGCGCAGAUUACAAGCCAUGGGAAGCAUGUUGUUUGUUAUAGCAGGAUGUGCACCAACUUUAAUAAGAUUGUGAGACCGUUCAUGGCUGAUGACGAAGGGUAUGGCAUUGUCUCAAAACAAGUGGUUGCCCUGCAGUCUAAGCUUAACGCUUUGAGGAAAAGGAGAGCAUCAAGUGUUCUUCCUGGGAUGGAAUGUGAACAAGUUGAUAUUGAACAACCCGCGGUGACAAGGCCGCAGAAAAAGUCGUGCAAGAAAGCAAGCUCAUUAGCUGAGAAGUGUUUGGAUCCCAAUGUGUCUCAGCAGCCUAGUGGCUCACGGGCUCGCAUGUUGCUGGUGCUGAGAUUGGAGACCCGCCAAUAACAAAGAAGCAAGGGCGUCCUAGGUCGAAAAGAUACAAGACUGGUUUGGGGCUCCUUCCGCCAAAUAAACCGCUAUGUGGCUAUUGUGGUUCCGUUGAGCAUACCACUUCAGCUUGCCCAGCAAAGCCAGCUAGGAAGCAAACAAAAGAGCUCUUAGAUCAUUAAACGAGGCUGCUGCUGUAUGAAAUGCUGCUUACAUUUUUGCACUUUUAUAAUUUAUUAAACCACCAUUGAGCGACUUGAUUUUAUUCAACAUUUGU